UAACCUGCCCAAGAGAUCGGGAUAACACCUAGAAACAGAUGCUAAUACCGGAUAACAACAGAUGAUGCCUAUCAACUGUUUAAAAGAUGGUUCUGCUAUCACUCUUGGAUGGACCUGCGGUGCAUUAGCUAGUUGGUAGGGUAACGGCCUACCAAGGCGAUGAUGCAUAGCCGAGUUGAGAGACUGAUCGGCCACAUUGGGACUGAGACACGGCCCAAACUCCUACGGGAGGCAGCAGAC
rnacentral:rRNA from 1 species